CUCCCUCUCCCUCAUAUCUAUCUCAUCCUCUUAGAUGCUUAUUCUCCUCAUCUACACAUCUAUCUUCACCUCUAUAUGUGCUCGCUGCUCUCACCACCAUGUUCUCGGCGACUAGUGAACUGGUCGGAUUUUGUCGCUAAGGAUUUGCCCAGUGACAGUGCGUCGGUGGUUGUUUGUAAUUUGUGAUUGGGUGUGGCUGGAACCUCAAUCUAGGGUUUUAAAAUGUAUGAAAUUGGACUAUUUGGGGGAAAUAAAAUUGGGGAAGUGGUGAGCCAAAGAGGAACGAAUUGCUGAUAUAAUAUCAGAUCUGUUUCUUUGGAAUAGUUUGUAUUCUUUCUGAUUUUCUCACAAUUUUCAUUUAACUAGAUUUUUGUUUCAUAUUCUAGCAAACAUGGGAGUUUUAUCUUGAAAAGAGAGAGGAGAGGAGAGGAGAGAGAGAGAGUGUGAUCGUGAAACGAGAGAGAGGGAGGAUGUGCAAAUUUUUAAUUUUUAAAUUUUUUUAUAAAAGGGUAAAUUUGGAAAGUAAAAGACAACUUGCAUGAUGUAUUAAUGAUAUGAUUUCAAGUGUGAAAAAAUGACAAAUGUCAUGAGUAGAAGAGAGAAGGGUAUAGAAAAUAUUGCUACAAUUCCUCAUUAUUAAAAUCUGUAUUAAUAUCCUCUACUCCCAUAUGCGCAUGUCUGUGAAUUGUUUACAUAUUCAUAGAUCUAUGACUAGUUGUUGACUAGUCAUAUUUUCUCCAGAAUUAUUUGAUCAUUGUUGUUAUAGAUCUGCUUCAUUAGGAUUUUAAUUUACCCCAUUCACCUAAAUUUCAAUUUCAAAACCAAAUUGGUACCGUAGCUUGACUCAACUCAAGGCUUCUUCAAGUAUCAAUCCAAACCAAGUCGCUAAAAUUCAAUUUGGGAGCAUCGUGAUACGUGCAAGGAUUCUUCAAACUGUGAGGGAUGGCAACUUGGAAAUCUGUUUCAUCGAUGGCUUCAUGUUGCUUACAGGGCUACAAACAAAGAAGAAUAUGGUUGUGCCAUUUACUCAUAUAGUUGGUGAGCAGCAGAGUAGAGGGGCAAAUCCAGCGCCUCCAAGGCCUUUUUCGGCGAGGAAAGGUAGCUGCACCUUCUUCCACUUUAAGGGUCUGCAAUAGCUUGUUUAGAAGAGAUUUGCUUGGCAUGAAAGAUCUUUUAAAUAAUAGUAUCAAAGCAUUAUGUCCAAAAGUAAAAACUCAAAGCAUUAUGUUGAUUUCCGCUCUGUAUUCUUCUUAAAGUAUCAUGCUUGUGUCUUUCUGUUUGAAGCUAUAUGUUGAAAAAUUAUUUUUUAAAUGCUAAAUAUUAAUGUCGUUUGCUGUUAAUUUAUUAUGUUUCAAUUUCUAGUCACUAUUUAUGAUUAACUCAAACAAAACCAAGCUCGACUAUUAUUUAUGAUUAAAUUAUUCUAAAUUGACUUGAUACAACUCACGCUCGACCAGUUUUAGCUCGUUUGAGCUUGGCUUGUAAAAGAAACAAAAACAGAACUAAACUCAAGGUCUAUAUGUGUGUGUGUAUAUAUAUGCAUGCAUGAUGCAAGGCAUUGCUUGUGAUAAUGUAAUCAUGUAUAUAUGUUGUAAAAUUCAAUGUGAUAAUGCAUUGUUAUUUGGUUCAAGACGUUGAGAAAAUUUAAGACAGUCGUUUGUCUGGAUUAAUAGAGCGAAUAUUUUAUGCUUUGAAUAAAGUUAGUGGAAUAUUAUUCUCUCUUAUAUAGGCAUUCGUUUUCAAUCAAUAUAACAUCCUCCAAUCCUAUCGCCAGUUUCAGGCACAGAGAGUAGCUUGGCAAGCAAGCUAAGGGUAGUUCAAAAAAUUCCUCCUCAUCAUUAUAUAAGCGACGUGACAUAUGCAUAUAUGCUUAUUCUCAUAAUAUAAAUAUAAUGCUAGCUAGCGGACAAGGCAAAUUAACCUAAGUAUCAUGACAAUGGAAUUCCUCAAAGGUAAACUCGAGACAUACUAAUUAAACUUAUCACCUGACCUCAGUAUCUUUGAAGGACCCAACUUACUAAUUAAACUUGUCACCUCAGCUCUCAUUAAAUCACAUUAGCAUUAUAUUGACUGGCAAUAUCAAGAAGAAUUAAUUGAACUUAAGACUUACAAGCAGAACAUCCACAAUCAUGCUUCUUAUUUUUUAAUUAAAAUUUAGCUAAAAACACUAAAAAGUUAUUUUAGGAGCUCUUAAUAAAAUUUCGACUCCAACCAUACUCUUUAAUUUAAGGAGUCAUAAAUGAUUUAUUUCUCUUUUUUUUUAGCUUACCAUAAAUACUCCCUCUUCAUAUAAAAUAAUAAUAAUAAAUAGUUAUCAUUAAAUAAAUGGGAUUUAGAAUUGUGUAUGCUCCACCCAGUAUUCUACUACAACACUAGAGGGCUGAUGGGAAAAGCUAAAGCUCCACCAGGUCAAAUGUUGACCAAAAAGAAGUAGGAAAAAAGGGUUAGCCACAAAAUUGGUAUUUUGGUUUGUUAUUUUAAUAUGUAUAAUUCAAUUGGGUUUGUAUUUGUUUAGAGAGAGAGAGAGAGAGAGAGAGAGAGAGAGAGAGAGCUUUUUUUGUUGGUGAGGUGGGGGGGCCAAGCCCCAGAAAUCAACUACUCAGGAAGGUUCAAAGAAACCAACCGAUUGUGAGCAAUUCCUAGCAAAUCAUCAACAAGCUUUGAACUAAUCCAAGGAGGAGCAGAUUCAAGGAUGCAAAUACCUCCAGUCAGCUAGACUUUUCCCUGUAUGUAUGGAUGAUAGAGUGAGCUUUUUAUUUCUUUUUUUAGUAUUUAUUUAUUUUUAACAUACGAAAUGAUCAAUUUGUCCUCAUAUUUAACGAAAAUAUUGACAGAAUAUAACGGUAGGACCAAUGGACUGAAUAAUAUAGAGUUGAUGGACCAUUGAAACGAAUAAUUUAAUUGAGGAACCAAAAUGUAAAUCGAGUAUAAGUUUGAGGACCAUUUAAGUAAAUAACCCUAUAUAGCCAAGUCAAAGAAGGUAAAAAGAUAUUUACCAAAAAGGAAAGGAAAAAAAAAAAGUUAAAAAGAUCCUCUAAUAAGAAAGACCUCUACGCCCGUAGCUAUUUAUGAAGAAUAUUAUUAUCAACAUAGAAUCUGUAUUAUUAUCGUUUGCAAAUUGCAUAUGAUAUGCGCAUGCCGAAAUCUAUAAACGGAGACCAUGAGGCAUUAAGUCGAUCAUCCAAGCAAACACACAAAUUCCAACUUAAAACUAAUCAGCAAGACAAUGACGAGUAAACAAGUGAAAAAUCAGGUGAGAGACACUGUUGAGGGAGGCUUCGACACCCUCCACAGGGUUGCCGAUGUAGUGACUUUUCCUUUGGCCCCUCUGGACGGUGCCGUCCAUGGCACGGCCCGAGGGGUCCUCAACUGGCUCACAGAUAACCAUCCUGAAGAUAGAUCCAAAUCCAAGCAAAAAUGUCUUCCCAAACCACAACAACACUGCAACAACGGCGGUGGCUACGGAGGCGGCUACGGAAACGGGGGCGGCUACGGAAAUGGGGGUGGCUACGGAAACGGUGGCGGCUAUGGAAACGGGGGCGGCUAUGGCGGAGGAAACGAUGGCUAUGGGGGUGGUGGAUAUGGUGGAAAUCCUGCUUCUGGAAAUCCCAACCGCAGAAAUUUCAAUUUUAAAGGGAAUGAGGUUAGCAACAACGAGGGCCCAGCUUUUGGAUUUAACAACUUUGGCAACAGGCGUGGCGGCGGCCCCUACAGUGGCGAUUCUGAAUUCGGCUUUGAGAACAAUAAACUGAACGGGAACAAGAACCGCGCUGAGGGAUUUAACGGCUUUGGCAACGAGUACUGAAUAGGAACAAGCUCUAAGCAUGCAUGCAUGCAUGUAAUGGAACAAGAAACCAGAUAAUUAUCUAAAAUAAGACCUGAUCCAAUAUCUGAGGCUUGUGGCUAGGCCUCUGUUUUUUAUGUGUAAUGCUAAUAUAAAAUAUAAAUUAGACAAAAGUUCUGAAAGGUUAAAUUAAUAGUUUCCUUUGGUAUUUUGUUAUAUAUGAGUAGUAUGUUAGUGCAUCAUUUGAGGAUUACAUAUGAUAUAACAAAAUGGAAGCCAACGUAUGAUAGGACAUCCUUGCCCAUUGCCCAUUGAAGUUUAAAUCGGCUCUGUACUAUUCAUAUAUGUUUGAAGCUAUAUGUUUAAAUGUUAAAUAUCAUUGUCUUUUGUUGUUAAUAAUUCUUAAUUAUUAUUGUUUUUCAUAUUCAUAAUUUCUAAUCACUAUUUAUAAUUAAACCAUGCUUAGCUGGAAGAUUGGUUAUAAAAAUGGACCAGCUUAUGACUGUAAAUUGACUUAACACAGCUCGAGCUCGAAUUCCUUUUAGGUUGUUUGAGUUUGACUCGUAAAAGAAACAAACAAAACCAAGAGCUUAACUCGAUAAAUAUUGAACAAAGUCAAGCUUGAUUACCAUAUGAUACUCCGCUCAGUUCCUUUGCAUAUAUAUACAAAAGAGAGCUUCAGUUGAGGGAUCUCAAAUAAGCUUAUUUGAGGAACGCUCUUGUAGGGCUCACUCACGUAUUGUAUUUCAAUUAUCUAAACCGUCUAGUUUUUAGAUAUUUCUAAAAAUAUCAUCUCUACAAAAAAUACUUGAAUCCAAAACCAUUGGACCACUCAAUUAGAUGGUUGUUAUUUUAGUACUUUUUUUUUUUCAAGAGUCGUGUUCAUCGAUUUUAUUGGUCCCAACUAGAUGCUUUAAUGAUUUUCAAUUUGUUUGAUUUUUGCAAGGAUGAUUUAUGAAUGAAGACUUGAAAAAGAGACGAAAAAUAUUCCUCUCAUCCUCCUCUACAAAACCCACCAAAAACCCGAUCUGAUUCGUUGACGGUGAGCUCGAAUCAAAGCUGAGAAAAGGGUUAUGUUUUUCGGCGGUGUUCUAGCAUUUUCCGAUGAUUCCGGGGGCAAAAAUUGUCGAACCAAGUAUGAAACUUCAUCCUCUCAUCAUACUCUACCUGUUUAUGU
rnacentral:lncRNA from 1 species